rnacentral:rRNA from 1 species
GACGAACGCUGGCGGCGUGCUUAACACAUGCAAGUCGAACGAAAAUACCAAGCUUGCUUGGUUGAUUAGUGGCGAACGGGUGAGUAACACGUGAGUAACCUGCCCCUUACUUUCCUGGAUAACUGCUCGAAAGGGUAGCUAAUACGGGAUAUUCUGACCAUCCUGCAUGGGUUGGUUUGGAAAGGUUGUUUUUCUGGUAAGGGAUGGGCUCGCGGCCUAUCAGCUUGUUGGUGGGGUGAUGGCCUACCAAGGCUUUGACGGGUAGCCGGCCUGAGAGGGUGGACGGUCACACUGGGACUGAGAUACGGCCCAGACUCCUACGGGAGGCAGCAGUGGGGAAUAUUGCACAAUGGGCGCAAGCCUGAUGCAGCGACGCCGCGUGAGGGAUGAAGGCCUUCGGGUUGUAAACCUCUUUCGUCAGGGAACAAGGCAUUGCCUUUUUUGGUGGUGUUGAGGGUACCUGGAUAAGAAGCGCCGGCUAACUACGUGCCAGCAGCCGCGGUAAUACGUAGGGCGCAAGCGUUGUCCGGAAUUAUUGGGCGUAAAGAGCUCGUAGGCGGCUGGUCGCGUCUGUCGUGAAAACUUCCGGCUCAACCGGGGGCUUGCGGUGGGUACGGGCCGGCUAGAGUGCGGUAGGGGUAACUGGAACUCCUGGUGUAGCGGUGGAAUGCGCAGAUAUCAGGAAGAACACCGAUGGCGAAGGCAGGUUACUGGGCCGUUACUGACGCUGAGGAGCGAAAGCGUGGGGAGCGAACAGG